GGUCAUGGCUCAGUGUUAGAGCACUUGCCUGGCGUGUGUGAGGUACUGGGUUCGAUCCUCAGCACCA
rnacentral:tRNA from 1 species